UUCUGAAAUUAUCCCGAGUCUUCUGAUAAUUAUUUUUAGAGUACAAACCAAGAGUAAAUUUGGUAUUGAUUAGGACGAAGUUAGUCAUUUAUUUUUUAUGCUUAUCGCAAGUUCGAAACCAAUGGCGAUCACGAGAUUUUCUUCUUACUCGUCCAGAUGGUGUAGUUGCCAUUGAUUGUAAGUUGAAUGCGCGUAUAUAUAUAUAUAUAUAUUCGGAAGUGAUUAGAUGGUCGGCUAAAUUUGAAAAGGUUGCAUAUUACGAUGAAGUCGUUCCUUUUUGUGAUUGAAAAGCCUUUAAUCAAUAAAGGUACCAGAGGUGCAUAAUGGGUUAGGGUUAGCCUGUCCCAAAGAAUGCCUUUUGUAUGGGCUGUCGGGUAUUCCAAUGCUGUGGGUGUUACCUCUUCUUCAUCAGUUACGGGUUUUGAAGCGAAACGAGGUGCCUAAACUCUACUAUUGAACCAUAUUAUUUGGACAUUUUGCCUAGACGCAGGCUAUGAGGGUAGCCUUGUGGGCUCGAAAGAAGUUAAAGAAUGUUUGUUUGCACCACCCAUGUAAGGGUAGCACACAGUUGGAUGAGUGGCAGUUUGAGAAUUAACUCGUGUCUUCUGCUAACUGAUGACUUGAUUGUGGAAUAAUAUGGAGACUGAGGCUAUGGCCUUAAAUAGUGCAGAAUGGACACAUAGGAUUCAUGUGGCCGACCCCAAGUAGUUGGGAAAAAGGUUUGGUGGUUGUUUUUGUUGUAUUAGUUCUAUUGUUAUGUUUUAGAAUACUGCAGAGGAAUAUUGGGCUGUAUUCCCUUACAUGAUUUCUAUGUAAAAGAAUGUUUCUGGAGUUUAUUAAUUGUAUAAAAAAAUUUGUUUCUCCUUUA